rnacentral:lncRNA from 10 species
CUGAAUUGGUACAAUGCCCAGGAAUCUCAAUGUCCCCCUUAGAAGGGUGAGCCCUGGCUUCAUCCUUCACCCACAUCAUCAGUGGGACAAACUGCACAGCUCGUGGACAGAUCACCGGUAAAGAAAAUCACAUCCACCUGUGCUGAGACCAAGGCUGCUGUUGGGCUCUGGCAGUUGGCAAGCGCUAAGGUCCCCUUCUGUGAUCAUAACUUUUUCUAAAGCAGGAAAAUUAUGAAUGGAGCCCAAGCCCGUCUGCUUAAGAUUCAAGCAUGGUGACAUUCCAUAGUAAACAACAACAGCGACAAUGCUGACAAAAACAACACGUUUAUUGUGAGGGUGAUUCCACCCUUAAAUGUGGAAAAUUUAACCUUGCUCUGAUACUAUUCUGUAACCAGUAUACCUAUGUCCAACAUUCCUAACAUAGCCAAACCAAUCAAUUGAGCCUUAUUGUGGAAGAGACAGGAAAUGUGAUCACUUGAAUGUGUGAUAUUCAUUCAUCCACUCAUUCAUUUUGCUGACCAUUAAUUAAUUCAAUUAACCCUCCUGAGUACAGCUCUGUGCUAAGCAUUAGGGACUCAAGAUGAUUCUUAUCUUCAAGGCAUCCAGCCUGGGGAGAAAAACAGACGUACAACUAAGCUGCAGACGGACACAUCCUUUAGUGAUGGGGACACCUGGAAGGGAUUGAGAAACUCCUUGCAGUUGGCCUUGGGAAGCUGGGGAGGACUUGAAACUUCUAAGUGGCCCUGGGAGCAACCGGAGGUGGGGUGGGCCAGUGCCUGUAGGCCUGGGCCUGCCUGGCUGAGGAUCCCAGCUGGACUACUGCCUUGCUGUCUACAAAUGAUGGAGCCCUUCCAGUCUCAGCUUCCUCACAAGUAAAAUGCAGACGGCAAUGCCUCUUUCCAGUGACGUUGUGAGGAUUCGAUGGGAAGUUUCAUGAAAGCACUUAGCAGGGUUUUUGUUGAGUGCUCAGAAGGUGAUAGUUUGGUGUUGCUAGGGGAACAGAAGCCUGGGCUGAGAACAGGCCGUGGAGAGUCACAAAUGGUCUUCAGCCGUCGGAAGGCACUGUUAGAUUUACUCUUCACAAAGAACAUUUUGGGACAUCUUGGUGUACGGAUUAGAAGGAAGGACAGAAGCUGGCACUUUGGCAAAGGAGUGUGAGUUUUGGGGAAGCUCAAGGAAGAGGUACCAGGUAGAGAGAGGGCCAGGGCUGAGUUCACGGGCUCUUUCUAAAUGGAAAUGUCUCACAUUCAGCUGUUGUCUGCCUUUGAGUCACACAGAACCACUUGCAGGAAGAACUCUAGAGAAUUUGGGAAGAAAGGGGGAGAGGACAGACAAAAGAUGCAUUUUUCUUUCAAGAAGCAGGAAAAUGUAAGGAAAAUUGAAGGUGUUCUCAAGUGUGUCUGCUGCUGCCUGACACAGGUUAACCCCGUCGCAGGUCACUCCGCUCUGUUAAUUGCAUCCUAACCUUCCUCGGCUCUUCGGCAGCGAAAUCGCAGCAGAGGAGAUGGAGCAGCUUCGUGCGCAUUGCUCAUUUGCGCCAACGUGAAAAGAACUGCCAGGAUGCCCAGGACACCAGCUCCCUGGCUUCUGCGGUGCUUGCACAGUCCUGAAUCAGCCCGAGAGCUGUGGAUCUGCGUCCCCUGGCUGCAUAGCCGACUGCCGGCUCCAUGGAGGGGCCUGUGCCGGAGAACGCACAUGUUGACUUAUUUCUUCAGUCUAGGCCUUUCUUGGCCCCCUUGGUUAUUCAUUCUAGAUGAUACAACUCUUAUUUCAGUUCAAAUGUCUCACGGAAGAGGCAUUGAAGACAGAGUGGAUGCCCGUGUUUGUUGGCAGUAGGUAGUAUUUACCACUCCGGUUGUAGUAAAAGAACAAAAGGAGAAAUUACACCUAUUUCUCAUAUUUAAGGGAAAAGCAAUUAAAUCACCAAAGUCAGAUUCUCGAGUAAUUGCUGGGCCCUUGGAGGGGCGGGCAAGGUGAGGUGUGAGGCCCCAGAUCUCUGUCUUGUGUGGGGCUGACACUGCCUGCUGGGGACUCCAAGCAGAGGCGGGGCCAGGGAAGGCAGCAUGCAGGGGGAAACCGAGAGCCUCUUGCCAGCCUCCCCUCCCAGCUGCUAUCCAUGCACUUGUCGUAGCUUCGCCGCUGUCCUCAGGCCAGGCAAGAGGUAGCAGGGCUCCACCUACAGAAGUUAUAGGAGGCGACUCUCAGAGCCUUGAUUUCCUCCAUUUGAAAUACUGAGAACAGUAUCUUCCAUACCUAGUUUCUAAAAGUUGUUAUGAAGAUUACGUAGAUUCAUACCUGUGAAGGCUGGUGAAAGAAUAAAACAGCCUAAACACACAAGGUGUUAAAAACAUCCCUUCCAACUAAAUAAUAGAUGAGUUGGAAUCCCAAGCAUGCUGGACAGCAGCAGUCACAGCCGAGGGGUGGGGGCCCCGUCCCUUACCAGGUGACCUCCCAUCGGUCAGGAGGACGAUGGCAUGUGGCAGUGCCGAGCACCACCUGGCUGGGAUCACUUCUCCCGCCUUCCUUUCUCCUUCUCCGGCCUGGGUCGGUAGCAUGGUCCGGAGAGCCAGCAGGCAGUCUCUCCCAGUCCGCAGAGGCAGAGGAGCGGUCUGAACGUGCAGGGCGGCCACUGCCAAGGCAGCCUGGGAUCAGGAGCUGCCCUGCACCUGGUGAUCUCUGCAAAUCAAUGCUUACCCAGAAGGAAAACCAAUUUACAUUGGUUCCUGUGGGUGCGGACAUUCCAGUCACAGAACAGCAGCUCUACAUCUAGGAGGCUCCUGAAGAACCCAAACUAACUGUGAAAAUGCAAGUGAAAAGUCCUGCUCUGGUGUGUUACAGGUGCUGCUUCUAGAAAACCCCUUUAUUAGAAAGCAGCAUGAAACCAGCGUUGGGAUAUAAGAGGAUGUGCUUUGUUAAAAGAAAACCUCUUUCUAAUACUCCCAACCAAAGGGCCAGAGGUCUUGUCUAACUAAAUGCCACCUUUCUGUGAUUCUUGGAGCUUCAUCUUCAAAGACUGAGAGGAUCCUCCUUCAUCUGAAACCUCUCAGAAAGGGAAAGGUUGGUCGUGACUUGUCCCCUCAACAAGGAACUUCAGGCACUGCCAACUGUGUUCAGUAACCCUUCUCUGACAGGAUGCUCUCCAGAAAAAUUCCUGCUAGCUUGACUCAGAAGAAGAGCAGCCUGUGCAUGAGCCUGUUCCCCUUGAGAAUUUCCUCUUCCUUCAUUAGUGUCUUGCGAUGGCCACAUUCUCCAUUUCUGUGACUUCCUACCAGCUUUUCAAAUGCUUAACUACAAACUAAAGUUAUUCUGGCAUUGGCAAUGUGAUCUCAGGAUUCCCACAACUAGCUUUCCUCAAGAUGAAUAUUGGGACGAGUUUGGCAGCAGACUGUAUGAUAAGGAGCACUGGAAUGGGAGUCAGAAAGCAUUGUGAACCCUACAGGGCAAGUGACUUCACCUCUCUUAAUCUCAUUGUCAUCAACUGUAAGUGAGAGUGAAUGAAGGAUGCUCCCAACUGUCAAACCCUGUAAGUUAAGAAAACCUGUGCUCCAGAGGAGAACAUGAACAUUGGCAAAAAGUGGACUAAAGCUUCUGCUGCACCACGAACCCAAGAAUUGUAGACAUAUCCCAGUGGCCAGAUGGCUGACUACCCACCGAAUCUAUCUUCCCAUUCUCUCAAGGUAAUGAGCUAGCUGUAGCCCAAUAUGUGACCUCUCAGUUGGCGGCUAUGUUUCAAGAGCCACUUGCAGGUGUGUGUCUGAGUUCCUUCCAGUGGAAUGUGAGCAGAAGGGACAGGAGACAUUUCUAGGCCCUGGGUCUGACACACAGCCUUCCCUGUGGUUGGUGCUGAACUACAGAGUAGCCGAAGACCAACUGGCUUUGAGCAUACAGGUGCAGGACUACUAUAUGAGAGAUGAAAAACCUUUGUCCUUAAAAUGAACUUUUUCCCUAAAAUCGCAUGUAGACCUUGGGGCUCAUGCAUAAGAAUUAAAGAGAAAGAGGAAAAUAAA